UGAAGGAUAGAGGUCAAAUUAAGGGGUAAGGGGUCAAAGGAAGGGUUAGAGGUCAGUUUAAAAGCUAGAGGUCAGAUGAAUGGUUAGAGGUCAGAUGAAUUGUUAGAGGUCAAUGAAAGGAUAGAGGUCAGAUGAAGGGUUAGAGGUCAGAUGACUCUUCUUGCCGGCCGUAAUGAUGAUACCGACGAAGAAGGCGUGACCUCACCUGACUUCAGGGGCUCCACUGUGAUGGGGUCAGAGGUCGCGUCUCCCAGGGCGUUGGAGGCGGUCACCCACAGGGUCAUGUCCUGGUACAGGACGAAGGCUCUCCUGGGGAGCACCACCCUCCACGCCCCAAGCGGGGCCACGUAGCUGCUGGUCUCCGCUGACUCACUGACACACACACACACACACACACACACACACACACACACACACACACACACACACA